AUAUCUCUCUGUACGGGAAGGAUGAGAAGCUUCGACCAAGGUUCGAUUCGAGCGCAGCGAGAAAGCGUUGCCGCAGGCAACGACCCGGAAGGGCGAAGCGCGCAGCGCUGAGUCAUCCUUCCCCCACCACCA
rnacentral:sRNA from 1 species